AACUUUCAGCAACGGAUCUCUUGGCUCUCGCUCUCGCAUCGAUGAAGACGCAGCGAAAUGCGAUACGUAAUGUGAAUUGCAGAAUUCCGUAGAAUCAUCGAAUCUUUGAACGCUUUGGGUAUUCCCAAAGGCAUGCCUGUUGAGUGUCA
rnacentral:rRNA from 1 species